rnacentral:rRNA from 1 species
AUUGAACGCUGGCGGCAGGCCUAACACAUGCAAGUCGAGCGCGUGGCGGGCGGGUGAGUAAUGUCUGGGAAACUGCCUGAUGGAGUGGGAUCACUACUGGAAACGGUCGCUAAUACCGCAUACCAUCAGAUGUGCCCAUAUGGGAUUAGCUAGUUGGUGGGGUAACGGCUCACCACGUCGACGAUCCCUAGCUGGUCUGAGAGGAUGACCAGGCACACUGGAACUGAGACACGGUCCAGACUCCUACGGGAGGCAGCAGUGGGGAAUAUUGCACAAUGGGCGCAAGCCUGAUGCAGCCAUGCCGCGUGUAUGAAGAAGGCCUUCGGGUUGUAAAGUACUUUAAGCGGGGAGGCGUUACCAGCAGAAGAAGCACCGGCUAACUUCGUGCCAGCCGCCGCGGUAAUAC